CAGCCGCCGCGGUAAUACGUAGGUCCCGAGCGUUGUCCGGAUUUAUUGGGCGUAAAGCGAGCGCAGGCGGUUAGAUAAGUCUGAAGUUAAAGGCUGUGGCUUAACCAUAGUACGCUUUGGAAACUGUUUAACUUGAGUGCAGAAGGGGAGAGUGGAAUUCCAUGUGUAGCGGUGAAAUGCGUAGAUAUAUGGAGGAACACCGGUGGCGAAAGCGGCUCUCUGGUCUGUAACUGACGCUGAGGAGCGAAAGCGUGGGGAGCGAACAGGAUUAGAGACCCGCGUAGUCCCUGUCUCUUAUACA
rnacentral:rRNA from 1 species